rnacentral:rRNA from 1 species
GAUGAACGCUGGCGGUGUGCCUAAUACAUGCAAGUCGUACGCAUUCUCGUUUCUGAUUGACGGUGCUUGCACCUAAUUGACGAGACAUUGGAAUGAGUGGCGGACGGGUGAGUAACACGUGGGUAACCUGCCCAGAAGCGGGGGAUAACAUUUGGAAACAGAUGCUAAUACCGCAUAAAAGUCAAAACCACAUGGUUUUGAUUUGAAAGAUGGCCUUUGUGCUAUCACUUCUGGAUGGACCCGCGGCGUAUUAGCUAGUUGGUAAGGUAACGGCUUACCAAGGCAAUGAUACGUAGCCGAACUGAGAGGUUGAUCGGCCACAAUGGGACUGAGGCACGGCCCAUACUCCUACGGGAGGCAGCAGUAGGGAAUCUUCCACAAUGGGCGCAAGCCUGAUGGAGCAACACCGCGUGAGUGAAGAAGGGUUUCGGCUCGUAAAACUCUGUUGUUAAAGAAGAACGUAUCUAAGAGUAACUGCUUAGGUAGUGACGGUAUUUAACCAGAAAGCCACGGCUAACUACGUGCCAGCCGCCGCAGUAA